AAGUUUUUUAAUAUUUGAGGGCUAAUUUGGUAAAAUAUUUCUGUUUUGGUUGACAAGCUCUUUUCUCUUAAUAAUAGUAUAGAUAUACAGAGGCAAAGCGAGAGAAGAGAAUUGUCGAACUAGGGUUUGCGAUCGAGAUCAGAUAGGAGAGCAAAGCAAGAAGGAUCGGGAGAAUGGGAAAGAAAAACAAAACAAGGGACAAGAAGAAGAAGGUUGCGCGGGACAGGCCCAUGUACCUGUACGUAGAGGUCAAGGCAGACGACAACUCGGUGUCGUGGACGGCGGCCGAGGCAAAUCAGUGGAUCUGAAGAGAUUGAUGACGAUGAUAAGAUAAUCUUCCGUCGCCUAGAUCUUCCCGAAUUUGAUGAUUAUUACCUGCGCCUUCCUCGCAGCGUUGUGGUCUUGGACUCCCGAUUAUUCAUGAUUGGUGGAUCUCAAUGUAGAAAGCGAGAUUGCUCUGGUGUGGAACCCUACAUUGGGUAUGAUUACUUGGACCUGAAACCCUCCUCCUAUGUAGCCAAGGAAUGGCGUUCUGAACAAGGGGUUUCAUUCCCUUCGCAACAGUCGGUGGCCUGCUACAAAGACGGUCUCAUCUAUACCUUGGGACAUGGAGGUUGUCACCGUCUCGAUCCUCGCUCUGGUGUCCGUUCGGAGUUUCCCGCCACGUGCGGGUUUCGAACACAGCUUGGAAUGUCGAACAAGUAUAUUUACACCUAUUCCCUUGGUAUUUAUAAUCACCUGUCUCGUUAUGAUUUGGAGAAAAACGAGUUUGACUGCAUCUCUAGCAGUUUCUGGGGUCUCUGGGGCCCUGGAGUGGUAAUUUCCGGUGACUCCUACUUAUUAUGCUUUGGCACUAUGAAACCCACCGAAAGAUUCUCCGGGCAGCCUGGUGUUUACGUUUUUGAUAUUCGCCAGCGUCAGUGGCUAGAUGAACCAGUUAAGGGCCUUGAUGAUGCUCUUCCCGUUAUCCCAGACACGUACGAGCCCUGGGAAAGGCACCUUUAUCUCGAGGAUUUACCGCGCGUGUUCCAAAUCGGAACCAAAAGAUUUGCUCUGGUUUGGGAGGAACAUUCCGUGAAAGAUGAUGAUUGUCGGCUAAUCGGCUUCAUUGCCACAAGUUCACUAUCGACCACAUCCCCUGCAGCAGCAGCUCUCAUCAAACCAACAAUCAACCCACCUCCUUUGUUGCUCGAAUAGUCUCUAAUGGAGUCCUUACUCUGAAAGACGCCGGAUUACUUGGUUGCACUGUAGGAAUUGAAUCUUAUUCAUGAAGUCUGCACCUGUGAAGCUAGUUGACCGAAAGAGUUUACAAAGCAGGUUCGUAGCUAGGUUUUUUUCCCCCAUCGUCUGUGGUCUUGUUAUCUUUGGAUUUAUUUUCUACUUCUCUUGGUUGUUUUGCUGCAUCAUUUGAAGCAUGUUGUCGCUACUUUUGUGCUUCUAGUGAGUGGCUUGAUUUUACAUUUCUGAAUAUUGUACUCCAAUUUUAGUUUUUGUUGUGUUGUUGAGAUUGGAAUGGACCUACGUAGUUGUGAGAAGCGACUACGUAGAAAAUCAAUUAUUAGAGUAGAAAAUUUCACGCAUUUGGCUAUUCAAAGUUAUUUUGGUCCGUCACACAGUUCAGUAGCUAAAUUCUUAUUGUUGAAUGGUGAUUAUGUUAGUUGCUAAACUAUAGAGGUGUAAUUCUCAGCUAUAUAUAGUUUAGUAGCUAAAUUGCUUUUUCAUUUUGUUUGGCCCCCCGUAAUGUCUAUAGCCCUUUUUUACUAAGUUCUGUUCUGGGGUUGUUAUCCAUGUGUUUGUUAAGAUCUGUCUUUAACUCGUUUGGACCUGGUUUCAAUGCUUGGCGAAAUCUAUCUCUGCAGUUAUAUGAUUAUGAGUUCUUAUUAGCGACUCAAUCAUUUUUCAAAGAGGAAAAAAGAAAAAGUGCUACACUACACAUUCAUUUGUUUCUGUUUACAUUUUAAAGGAAAACAGAACUCUGUGUCAAGUUCCUGAGAGUUUGUGGGACUGAUUGUUAACAGUACACCACAAUUAGAGAGUAAGUUACUUGAUGGGGAACAUUUUGUGGGACUGAUUGUUUUCCUGGAAUUUAUGAAGAUCAGGUUUAGGACUUUUGACCACGUGCGGAACAUGAAGUAUAUAGAAUAUGUAGUGACAGAAAAUUAGAAUACUAUACCCAAAACUAAGCCUGGACCUGUCAAUCUGUGGUGGUGUACUGGAAGGAAGUAUAUGAGGAAUCUUCAGUUGUUGUAUUUUGCUGCUUUCCUCAAACUUUAAAAACUGUGUGUACUGAGAGAUGAAUUAGUUCAGAAAAACAUAUUAAAAACUAGAAUUCACAGGAGGAAUCUUCAGUUGUUGUAUUUUAUUUCUUUCCUCAGACUUUUAAAAUUGGUUUGCACAGAGAGAUCAAUUAGUUCAGAAAAACAUUAAAAACUAGAAUUCAUAGAAGGAAUGUUCAGUUGCUGUUUUCAUUUCUUUCCUCAAACUUUUAAAAUUGGUUUGCAGAGAGAGAUCAAUUAGGUUCUGGAAAACAUAUUAAAAACUAGAGUUCACAAAUUGUCAUUCAUUCAGCUCCUUUUGUUUUCUUCCCAUGACAAAUCAAGUUGAUAGCAAUCUGCACUUCUGAACCAGGCGUCCCCCCCUCUCUGCGCGGUGUGGUUUAGUUAGUGCUGUCCUACUUUUAUACAACGCAAUUUGUAAAUUAUUUCUUUUGACUGAACGUUUCUUAUGGAUUGUGCUUGAUAAGGAGAAGCAGGUAGUGACAGUGGACAGAGAGAUAGAUGUUGGUCAAGGCCUCUGGGCAUGAGAUAAAUUUGAAUACAUACUCUAUCUAGCUAUUUGAAUCAAGUUUUAGCACAUGCAGUGAAAAAUUCUAUGCAAACUCUAAAGGCAAGUGAUUGGCAUCUUGAAGGAGCUAGGAGCAUUUCAUAUAUUCUACAGCCAAGCCACGACAGGAGAAGAAAAAACAAAUGUCCAAGCUCUAGAGUACAUUGCAAAUUAUUUUGCUAUUCAGCUUCAAUAGUACUACUUAGGUCUCAUGGAACAAUUAAUGACUAUUGUAAAUGUAUUUUAAUGGUUGUAAUGACAUUGGAGUUUCUAGAAUGAAUGAGAACUUCAAUGAAUGGCAAGAGCAAACUUAUAUGUGUCAUCUGAAAUGCAAUGCAACAACAAACUUGAAGAACAAUAUAUUGUUGG